AACGAACGCUGGCGGCGCGCUUAACACAUGCAAGUCGAACGAGAAGCCGGAGCAAUCCGGUUGUAAAGUGGCAAACGGGUGAGUAAUGCGUGGGUAAUCUACCCUCGGGUGGGGAAUAACUCUUCGAAAGGAGAGCUAAUGCCGACAUGUGCAUCACUUUCGCAAGGAAGUGCUGGAAAGCCGUAUCGUGGAUACGGCGCCCAAGGAUGAGCUCACGUCCUAUCAGCUUGUUGGCGGGGUAACGGCCCACCAAGGCUGCGACGGGUAGCUGGUCUGAGAGGACGACCAGCCACACUGGCACUGCGACACGGGCCAGACUCCUACGGGAGGCAGCAGUGAGGAAUAUUGCGCAAUGGACGAAAGUCUGACGCAGCGACGCCGCGUGUGGGAGGAAGCUCUUCGGGGUGUAAACCACUGUUGCCCGGGACGAAAAGCGAGUUUUGACUCGCCUGACGGUACCGGGUGAGGAAGCACCGGCUAACUCUGUGCCAGCCGCC
rnacentral:rRNA from 1 species